rnacentral:SRP_RNA from 1 species
GCUGGGUGUGGUGGUGCACGCCUGUAAUCCCAGCUACUUGGGAGGCUGAGACAGGAGAAUUGCUUGAACCCAGGAGGUGGAGGUUGCAGUGAAUUGAGAUUGUGUCACUGUGCUCCAGCUUGGGUGACAAAGGAAGAUUCUGCCUCAA